UACGUAGGGUGCGAGCGUUAAUCGGAAUACUGGGCGUAAAGCGUGCGCAGGCGGUUUGUAAGUCAGAUGUGAAAUCCCCGGGCUCAACCUGGGAACUGCGUUUGAAACUACAAGGCUAGAGUGUAGCAGGAGGGGGUAGAAUUCCACGGUGUAGCAGUGAAAUGCGUAGAGAUGUGGAGGAAUACCAAUGGCGAAGGCAG
rnacentral:rRNA from 1 species